GGGCCUGUAGUCCAGUGGUUAAGACGUCUCCUUUACACGGAGAAGACCAGCAGUUCGAUUCUGCUCAGGCCCA
rnacentral:tRNA from 1 species